rnacentral:lncRNA from 1 species
AAAGAUUUGAUUUAAAUGUUUUUGACCAUUACCCAAUCUUGAAAUUUUCUUUUCCCGCUUGAGAAAUUGGAUUUUUUUUUUUUUUUUUUUUGUAGUACAUUGUAUAUAGGUCUUUGUUUGACCAUACCAUACGACCAUAUCCAGAAUAAUAAAUAUAUUAGGAUAAGUGUGAUGUCAAAAAAAGAAAUAAUAUAUAAGUUAAAUCUUGAAAUGUAUAUCGAAAUUUUUGGUCUCACUUCUUUAAUGAAGUGAAUCAAAAGGAGGACACACCACCGGCC